GCAGAUCAGAACUCUAUCAGGCACCUCGAGAUCACCAACUGCCUCCCAGGAAACAACUGCUAACAAUGAAUUGACAAGACAGAGGGGUAUCCAUUUCUGAAGACUCCGGGGAACCACCGUACAAGCCAUGGACUACUGACCUCUGACUUCAUCAUAUGCCUGUGAAUUCAUAUUCUGCUGGGGAGUAUUAGAGAUUCUGACUGGAAAUAAUUACGAGGGAAAGGCUCCAGUGUCUGUGUCACGCCCCCAGUGAGGUCAAGACCCCACUUUGUAGUCCAAGCAUCAGGAAACCAGCUUAUCAGGUUGAUUGAACACCUGCCCAGAUGUCCUGCCAGCAGAACAAGCAGCAGUGUCAGCCCCCUGCAAGUGCCCUUCCAAGUGUACUCUGAAAUGC